rnacentral:lncRNA from 1 species
AUGCGAACAAAAGAAGAUGUCGGUCACAAUUCCAGCCGGACCGGCUGCGCACCGACCCAGUGGAGGACUGACGUUGUCACCACAGGAAGUGUGUGCUGCGCCUGCUCAGAGAAGGAAGUAGGAACGCAGGCACAGGAAGCAGGGACAGGGGGAGAGGAAAAACAGAUGCACAGCUCCAAAGGAGGAGUCCCGGAGCUGGCUCGUGGCCUCCGGGCCUCAAGCCCGAAAGGAAGACACACCGGGGAAGUUCCGGUACCAUUUUGGGGACUAAAAGCUGCCAUGGAAGAGCCUGCAGCUCCCAAAGAACCCCACGAGGCAGCUGGGGCCUCUAGGGGUGCAGAGGCAGCAGGGGAAAGUGCCCCACGGCCCACCCUCCCGGUGCGCCCUGUUUCCCGGUGGUCUUCGGUUCCAGGCCCAUCCCCGUUCCGCCCAUCACGUCUGAGGCCUGCCCAAGCUUCGUGGGGAGGGGCCGGGCCCAGCUGGCUGCAGAGCCGGAGCACUGGCAGCUGGACAAAGCAAGUCAUCUGCAGGUAUUAUCUGCAUGGGCUGUGCAAGGAGGGGGAGAAGUGCCGAUACUCCCACGACCUUUCGGGCCGGCAGGUGGCCAGGGAGGGCCCUGGCUCACAGCCCCAGGCCUCUGCAGACAGCGGCCCUAGCACGGCUGCACACAUGGAGCCCCUGCCUCAACAAGUGGCGGAAGCCCCCCCUGCUGUUUCCUCACGUUCCUUGCCUGUGAUUGGCUCGGCUGCUCAAAGGGGUUUGUUUGAAGCCAAGACAGACAAUGCAGGCCUUGAAGCUGCUGGAGGAGCAGGUGUAGAAGGCUGGGAGAAUGCCGUUGAAUUUGUUCCCGGGCAACCCUACCGGGGCCGCAUGUUCCCUUCUGUCUCCGAGGCUCCUCUGCAGAGCUCGGUGAUUGAGAGUGGGCAGAUUGUUCUGGGCAUGGGGAGGCAGCUUUGCCGCGAUGCCAUCGCCGGGCAGUGCUUUCGUGGGCAGAGCUGUAUUUAUCUCCAUGGAGAUAUAUGUGAUAUGUGUGGGCUGCCGGUCUUGCACCCUUUGGAUGGUACCCAGAGGGAAGACCAUGUAAAGGCCUGCAUUGAAGCACACGAAAAGAAUAUGGAGCUCUCUUUUGCCGUGCAGCGCAGUGCGGACAAAGUGUGUGGCAUCUGCAUGGAGGUUGUCUAUGAGAAAGCCAACCGGAAUGAUUGCCGCUUUGGCAUCCUCUCCAGCUGCAACCACACGUACUGUCUUAAGUGUAUCCGCAGGUGGAGAAGUGCCAGACAAUUUGGGAGCAGAGUUAUCAAGUCCUGCCCUCAGUGCAGGGUCAUGUCCACCUUUGUCAUUCCCAGUGAGUUCUGGGUGGAGGAGGAAGAAGAGAAGCAGAAACUUAUUCAGCAGUACUUGGAGGCUUUGAGUCACAAGACCUGCAGGUAUUUUGCUCGAGGCAGGGUCUGCCCAUUUGGAGAGAACUGUUUUUACAAACAUGUGUAUCCUGAGGGCCAGGGAGAGGAGCCUCAGCGGCAGGGUGCUGAGGCAUCUGGUACUUGCCAUUGGGAACCUUUGGAGCCUCUGCAGGUGGGAGAGGGCAACAUGCCCUUUAAAAGCAGUAGAAAAGAGCUUGUCAUGCUUUGGCUGGCCAAUCUGUUGUGUAAGUGUUUUCACCAGGAGCCAUGUGCUCCUCUUCACAGAGGUCUGGUGGGACUUGCUUCAUUGUGA